GACGAACGCUGGCGGCGCGCCUAACACAUGCAAGUCGAACGAGCGAGAGAGAGCUUGCUUUCUCGAGCGAGUGGCGAACGGGUGAGUAACGCGUGAGGAACCUGCCUCAAAGAGGGGGACAACAGUUGGAAACGACUGCUAAUACCGCAUAAGCCCACGACCCGGCAUCGGGUAGAGGGAAAAUGAGCAAUCCGCUUUGAGAUGGCCUCGCGUCCGAUUAGCUAGUUGGUGAGGUAACGGCCCACCAAGGCGACGAUCGGUAGCCGGACUGAGAGGUGGAACGGCCACAUUGGGAAUGAGACACGGCCCAGACUCCUACGGGAGGCAGCAGUGGGGAAUAUUGCACAAGGGGGGAAACCCUGAUGCAGCGACGCCGCGUGGAGGAAGAAGGUCGUCGGAUUGUAAACUCCUGUUGUAGAGGAAGAUAAUGACGGUACUCAACAAGGAAGUGACGGCUAACUACGUG
rnacentral:rRNA from 1 species